rnacentral:rRNA from 1 species
AUGUGAAUUGCAGAAUUCAGUGAAUCAUCGAAUCUUUGAACGCACAUUGCGCCCUCUGGUAUUCCGGGGGGCAUGCCUGUUCGAGCGUCAUUACACCUCUCAAGCUCAGCUUGGUAUUGGGCUUGUCGUCCCCUGUGGACGGGCCUGAAAAUCAGUGGCGGUGCAGUCGGUACUCAAGCGUAGUAGCAUAAUAUCCCGCUUUGGAGUUACCGGGUGGACCCGCCAGAUAACCCUCUAUAUUCAAUGGUUGACCUCGGAUCAGGUAGGGAUACCCGCUGAACUUAAGCAUAUCAAUAAGCGGAGGAAAAGAAACCAACAGGGAUUGCCUCAGUAACGGCGAGUGAAGCGGCAACAGCUCAAAUUUGAAAUCUGGCUCCCCGGGGCCCGAGUUGUAAUUUGGAGAGGGAGUUUCGGAAGCGGCGCCGGCCUAAGUUCCUUGGAACAGGGCGUCAGAGAGGGUGAGAAUCCCGUAUGUGGCCGGCGGUCAAUUCCGUGUGAAACCCCUUCGACGAGUCGAGUUGUUUGGGAAUGCAGCUCAAAAUGGGUGGUAAAUUUCAUCUAAAGCUAUAUACCGGCCAGAGACCGAUAGCGCACAAGUAGAGUGAUCAAAAGAUGAAAAGCACUUUGGAAAGAGAGUAAUCAGUACGUGAAAUUGUUGAAAUGGAGAUCCGGAGGAAA